rnacentral:lncRNA from 1 species
AUCGUUCAGAGGCCGCCUUCACGACAGACAUUACAGACGGAAGUUUGUAUCAGCAGCAACGCAAGGAUCUCGGUCUCGGUGCUAUGGACUUGACCAUGACGAUAAACUCUGAUGGAAGUCCGGUUUUCAACUCGUCAAAGUUUUCAAUAUGGCCCGUUCAGACAAUAGGUAAUGAGUUGCCUCCAGGAUUGCGGUCCAAAAAUGUUACAGUUGCCAUGCUGUGGUACGGCCAGUGCCUUCCAGAUAUGACAUUGGUGCUGGAGGCAUUUGCCAAGCAAAUGGACUCUCUCGCCGAGACUGGGAUCAGCUAGACGUGUGACGGAGAGACCUUUCACUCAAAAGUCUACUGUUUCACUGGUACGGCUGAUGCCCCAGCCAGGGCUCUGAUGCAGAACACGGUCCAGUAUAAUGGAUACUUUGGGUGUGGCUGGUGUUUGUACCCUGGCAAGUGCGUUGAAGGUAAGCAAACUCACUUUUAUACAAAAACAUCUAGCUGACUGCAUUUUAAUCUGUGUAUGGGCUUUACCAUCACUAUUUUGCCACUGUAAUUUGGUUUAUGCAUUCUUAUUUGCUCUACACAAAUUUGUGUUUUGAGUGUUCUUUUUGCAAAGUAGUUUUGCCUGAAGUAAAGGUCAGUGUGCAUUCA